AUAAAGGCGAGAUCGGCACCGGGGCCAGAUGGCCUACUAGUGAUCUUCUUCCAAAAGUUCUAGAAUGUCCUAAAACCUAUGAUCAUGUCAAUGUUCCAUGAAUCUUAUAUCGGGACGUUCGACAUGGCACAUAUAAACUAUGGUGUCAUUACUCUUAUCCCCAAGGUAGUAGGGGCUACGGACAUUCGCCACUUUAGGCCUAUUACGGUUAUCAAUGUUCUCGAGCACAUCUUCUCCAAAGUAUGCGCUACCCUGUAG
rnacentral:rRNA from 1 species